rnacentral:lncRNA from 1 species
UAAGCAACACAUAAACAAAAAAAAAUCGUUAUUUUGUUUUUUUUUUCUCGUUUUGAAUUUGUUUUUAUUUGUUUUCCAGUUGAGAGUACAAUAUUUACAAUAUAAUAGUUUUAUAGUUUCUAUUCUUCAGUGUUACUAGAUAGUCGAUGUGUGGGUGUGGUUUGUAUUUUAGGAUCCUGAUUGCAUAAAAAUAGUAACAACAAGCAGUUAGAGAACUAAG